CUGGAGGUAUCAGAAGUGCGAAUGCUGACAUAAGUAACGAUAAAGCGGGUGAAAAGCCCGCUCGCCGGAAGACCAAGGGUUCCUGUCCAACGUUAAUCGGGGCAGGGUGAGUCGACCCCUAAGGCGAGGCCGAAAGGCGUAGUCGAUGGGAAACAGGUUAAUAUUCCUGUACUUGGUGUUACUGCGAAGGGGGGACGGAGAAGGCUAUGUUGGCCGGGCGACGGUUGUCCCGGUUUAAGCGUGUAGGCUGGUUUUCCAGGCAAAUCCGGAAAAUCAAGGCUG
rnacentral:rRNA from 1 species